GAGACAUGUUUAUAUUACUCAAAAAUAAUAAAUUAUUUAUUAUUUUUAUUUUUCGAAAUUAAUUAUAUUUGCUGAUAUCAAUAUUUAAACCUGUCUGGUCCUUGCUUUUAAUAAUUUUACGAUACCAUUUUAAUUCUAUACUGUUUCAGUAGUUCUAUAAGGUUUUUGAAGUUAAUAAUGUAAUUUUGUAUUGCUUUAAAUAAAAAUUGUUCCCGAAAAUUCUCUUAUGUCCAUUAUCGUGAAAUGUAAAAUUCUUAAUUAGCAAUUGUGACAUUUUUCUCAGAAGAUGAUUUGAUGUUGUGUUAUUUUUGUAUGAAAUUGUCAACGAAUAAUGAAAAUGAAUGACGAAACACCUGUUAGUUCUCUAGUUCUUCCGGUCCUCAUCAGACCAAUAUUAUUACAACUGGAGAAACACAAUGUUUCAGCUUCUCAAACAUUGAGGUCUGCAUUGUUUAAAACUGAAAAUGUAUAUCCAGGAUUUGUAUUUAAUCUGGUAUCUGGCAUAAUGAAAAAGAGUGAUAUUAGUAUAAACAUGAAUGAAAGUAUAUUAAGAUUACAAGGCUUAGUGUCUGAUCAUGAUGGUGGUGAAUAUCGAUUAAAUCGAUCUGAAGAAGCUUUCCAAGAGUUAAAUAAGAAGUCAAUGUCUUUAAAAAAAAUUUUAAGUCGUAUUCCAGAUGAAAUAAAUGAUAGAAAAACAUUUUUGGAAACUAUUAAAUAUCUGAUGUUUACUGAUGUAAAACCCAUAGUUGGUAUGGCGUGGUGGUCCCCGUCUUGUUGUUGGACCUUGAUUUGUCGGUGGCAAUAUGUUCACGUUCGUUAUAGUCUCUACUGUGACAGACCAUUUGCCUAUGGAAUUGAACGUAGGUGAUGUAAGAUGAGAUUUCCCUGAUGGUUAUUCACAUAACUACUAUCCUACUUGUUAUAACACACAUGCGGACAAGGGACCCAAUGGGGACAUGCCUUAAUACAUGGAGAUAGCUAGUGCAAUAAAAAAAUUACUUGAUGCAGUAAAUGAAGUAUCUGCAUAUAUACCUGGACCCAGUAAUAAACAAGUAUUAGAACAGCGAAAACGUGAAUUUGUUAAGUAUUCAAAACGUUUUAGUAAUACACU